AAAGAAGUCUGGCAUUCAUUCUAAAUUGACCUGGAGGCUGAGGAGCCCUGGAGUUGUUCCAGCUGCUUCAAACUCUGCCAGAAGGCAUUGCCUGCCAACAGCAUAACACAAUCUUGGGAAUGAACUCUGACAAACUUACCAUCAUGACAGCUGAUGCAUCCCAUCGAGGAUGGAAGAAUGGAGCUCCAAACUUUGUUACACUAUUCUUGAAAGUUUUCUUGCUCAUCUAAUGGCUGUAAAGUUUAACCACACCCGUCAUGCCCACUGCUCUCCACAUCAUCCUCAUCUGGCAGCCGUCAUGUAUUAAAGGGAAGGACUGAGAAGACAGGAAGUCUCUGGUGAAGAUGGAGUUGAUAGAGUAAACUGGAAAUAGGAACAAAAAGUGAAGGCUGGUGGAGGGGAGUGUCAGGAUGCAGACCCUCCCUGCUUCGACAUGUCGCAUCCUGUACUCUGAAGUUCAUGGGAAUGCAAACAAAUAAAAAUGGUCAUGCCACCCGCUGCAACAGACCUUCUAAAACACAAGCCUGCACAGCACCCUCAAGCUUGAAAUCGGAGAGCUGAUUUCCCUUGACCAAUAAAGCAAACACUGGACGUGAUGGCAUCUAGUUUCCUGAAGUCUGAGAGACGCUAGCAGCGCUGGACUCUAAGUGGCAACACAUUGAUCUGAAGGGGCAAGAGGUUCCCUUAUCCACAGAGCCGGCUGAGAAGGAUGUACAGAUGUGCCGAGUGGGUUCGGGACUUCCCCCGCUGAGGAUACCACCUAAAUAAUGACGAGCAGGACAUUUAAGCAGAGGUCAUAUUUGGAAUAGUUUUGUAAACCAUCUUAAGGAAUGCCUUUAUUCCCUCCGUUCCAUCUUUCUAGAAUGCUUUUCCUCGGUUUGCCCGUCAAAAUCUUAUCCAUUCUUUAAAGCUGAGCUUCGGUCUUGUCUUCAGCAUGGAGUCGUUGGUAAUAAUAUUUUUUCCUUGUUCUUUUUGUUUAUACACUUGCAGCAGCACUGAGAUUACAGUGAAUUGUUA